rnacentral:rRNA from 1 species
CGCACGGGUGAGUAACACGUGAAUAAUCUACCUCCGAGUGGGGAAUAACUGAGAGAAAUCUUAGCUAAUACCGCAUAACACUUACGAGUCAAAGCAGCAAUGCGCUUGGAGAGGAGUUCGCGGCCGAUUAGUUAGUUGGCGGGGUAAUGGCCCACCAAGACGAUGAUCGGUAUCCGGCCUGAGAGGGCACACGGCCACACUGGCACUGAAACACGGGCCAG